CUUUUGUAUUUCGACUUUCCUUGGGUUCUGUUUUUGUUUGGCGAGAUAAGGCUUCUUUGAUUUGCAACGAUGAUGGAGCUGUUCGUGCUGGGGUGUACCGGAGUUGUGGUGUUCCUUCACGGAGCCAACUUCUUCUUCCAUGUUCUUUCCCAGCACCUCGCUGUUCGUUCUCUCAGUUUCUUGGGAUUUGUUGGGUGGUAGAACAAAGGGAGAAACCAGAGGUUGAGAGAGGAUUCAUUUCUCUGCGUGCAAGUUUUGAAUGUGGAUCAUGCUUUGUAAAUAUUUGAUUAUAACUUGGAUUUUGUAGCA